rnacentral:rRNA from 1 species
GAACGCUGGCGGCAGGCCUAACACAUGCAAGUCGAGCGGUAACAUUUCUAGCUUGCUAGAAGAUGACGAGCGGCGGACGGGUGAGUAACGCGUAGAAAUCUACCUAGUAGUGGGGGAUAGCCCAGGGAAAUUUGGAUUAAUACCGCAUACGCCCUACGGGGGAAAGCGGGGGAUCUUCGGACCUCGUGCUAUUAGAUGAGUCUGCGUCGGAUUAGCUUGUUGGUGAGGUAAUGGCUCACCAAGGCGACGAUCCGUAGCUGGUCUGAGAGGAUGACCAGCCACACUGGAACUGAGACACGGUCCAGACUCCUACGGGAGGCAGCAGUGGGGAAUAUUGCACAAUGGGCGCAAGCCUGAUGCAGCCAUGCCGCGUGUGUGAAGAAGGCCUUAGGGUUGUAAAGCACUUUCAGCAGUGAGGAAAGGGGUGUCGUUAAUAGCGCCAUCCUGUGACGUUAACUGCAGAAGAAGGACCGGCUAACUCCGUG